rnacentral:rRNA from 1 species
CGGAGGAUCCAAGCGUUAUCCGGAUUUAUUGGGUUUAAAGGGUGCGUAGGCGGCCUGUUAAGUCAGGGGUGAAAGACGGUAGCUCAACUAUCGCAGUGCCCUUGAUACUGAUGGGCUUGAAUGGACUAGAGGUAGGCGGAAUGAGACAAGUAGCGGUGAAAUGCAUAGAUAUGUCUCAGAACACCGAUUGCGAAGGCAGCUUACUAUGGUCUUAUUGACGCUGAGGCACGAAAGCGUGGGGAUCAAACAGGAUUAGAUACCCUGGUAGUCCACGCCCUAAACGAUGAACACUCGCUGUUGGCGAUACACAGUCAGCGGCUAAGCGAAAGCGUUAAGUGUUCCACCUGGGGAGUACGCCCGCAAGGGUG